GAGCAAGCAUGCCUGGAAUUUGGCCUGGUCACUUUUCAAGCUGUAGGAGCAGAAAUCCACUAAUAAUCUCGAGUCGCCUCCUUGUGCCUUUGGGAACCGUGGUGUCAGUCAGUCUGCUGAGCAGAGCAGAAGACUUAGGCUCUACAAGAUCAAGAAAUUAGUUAGAUUCCCUAGGAACCCUGAACGGUCCACACAGCUUUCUAUGUGACGCCUGCAUUUGUGACUAUCGCAUGUCCCUUCUUCCUUGAAGACAUGGAUCCCCCUCAACUGGUGUCUCACUUUGCUGACUUCAUCAUAGAGAGAGAGAGAGCACAAGCAGGGGGAGCAGCAGGCAGAUGGAAAAACAGGCUCCCCUCGAAGCAAAGAGCCCAACGUGGGACUCGAUU